rnacentral:rRNA from 1 species
GAUGAACGCUGGCGGCGUGCUUAACACAUGCAAGUCGAACGAAGCACUUAUGACAGAUUCUUCGGAUGAUGGAUUAAGUGACUGAGUGGCGGACGGGUGAGUAACGCGUGGGUAACCUGCCUCAUACAGGGGGGAUAACAGUUAGAAAUGACUGCUAAUACCGCAUAAGCGCACAGUACCGCAUGGUACGGUGUGAAAAACUCCGGUGGUAUGAGAUGGACCCGCGUCUGAUUAGCUAGUUGGUGGGGUAACGGCCUACCAAGGCGACGAUCAGUAGCCGACCUGAGAGGGUGACCGGCACAUUGGGACUGAGACACGGGCCCAAAACUCCUACGGGAGGCAGCAGUGGGGAAUAUUGCACAAUGGGCGAAAGCCUGAUGCAGCGACGCCGCGUGAGCGAUGAAGUAUUUCGG